rnacentral:rRNA from 1 species
GAGGCCGAAAGGCGUAGUCGAUGGGAAACGGGUUAAUAUUCCCGUACUUGGUGUUACUGCGAAGGGGGGACGGAGAAGGCUAUGUUGGCCGGGCGACGGUUGUCCCGGUUUAAGCGUGUAGGUGUGUGUUCCAGGUAAAUCCGGUUCACUUUAACACUGAGGCGUGACGACGAGGCACUACGGUGCUGAAGCAACAAAUGCCCUGCUUCCAGGAAAAGCCUCUAAGCAUCAGGUAACAUCAAAUCGUACCCCAAACCGACACAGGUGGUCAGGUAGAGAAUACCAAGGCGCUUGAGAGAACUCGGGUGAAGGAACUAGGCAAAAUGGUGCCGUAACUUCGGGAGAAGGCACGCUGACACGUAGGUGAAGUGAUUUACUCAUGGAGCUGAAGUCAGUCGAAGAUACCAGCUGGCUGCAACUGUUUAUUAAAAACACAGCACUGUGCAAACACGAAAGUGGACGUAUACGGUGUGACGCCUGCCCGGUGCCGGAAGGUUAAUUGAUGGGGUCAGCGCAAGCGAAGCUCCUGAUCGAAGCCCCGGUAAACGGCGGCCGUAACUAUAACGGUCCUAAGGUAGCGAAAUUCCUUGUCGGGUAAGUUCCGACCUGCACGAAUGGCGUAAUGAUGGCCAGGCUGUCUCCACCCGAGACUCAGUGAAAUUGAACUCGCUGUGAAGAUGCAGUGUACCCGCGGCAAGACGGAAAGACCCCGUGAACCUUUACUAUAGCUUGACACUGAACAUUGAGCCUUGAUGUGUAGGAUAGGUGGGAGGCUUUGAAGUGUGGACGCCAGUCUGCAUGGAGCCGGCCUUGAAAUACCACCCUUUAAUGUUUGAUGUUCUAACGUGGACCCGUGAUCCGGGUUGCGGACAGUGUCUGGUGGGUAGUUUGACUGGGGCGGUCUCCUCCUAAAGAGUAACGGAGGAGCACGAAGGUUGGCUAAUCCUGGUCGGACAUCAGGAGGUUAGUGCAAUGGCAUAAGCCAGCUUGACUGCGAGCGUGACGGCGCGAGCAGGUGCGAAAGCAGGUCAUAGUGAUCCGGUGGUUCUGAAUGGAAGGGCCAUCGCUCAACGGAUAAAAGGUACUCCGGGGAUAACAGGCUGAUACCGCCCAAGAGUUCAUAUCGACGGCGGUGUUUGGCACCUCGAUGUCGGCUCAUCACAUCCUGGGGCUGAAGUAGGUCCCAAGGGUAUGGCUGUUCGCCAUUUAAAGUGGUACGCGAGCUGGGUUUAGAACGUCGUGAGACAGUUCGGUCCCUAUCUGCCGUGGGCGCUGGAGAACUGAGGGGGGCUGCUCCUAGUACGAGAGGACCGGAGUGGACGCAUCACUGGUGUUCGGGUUGUCAUGCCAAUGGCACUGCCCGGUAGCUAAAUGCGGAAGAGAUAAGUGCUGAAAGCAUCUAAGCACGAAACUUGCCCCGAGAUGAGUUCUCCC